rnacentral:lncRNA from 1 species
GGUUUACAGUAGGUCCACAGAUUCUGACACUUCCUUCAAAAAGUAGAGCCUAAUUCCUCUCCUACAUCAUGACCAUAAGUCAAAACCAGCCUGUUAGCCACUUCUGAAUUCUUCACCUCUGGUAACUAAGAGAAGUAUUUGUUGCUUUCAGCCACUAGGGUUUGGAGUAAUUUAUUACACAGCAAUAGGUAACUAAUGCAGAAUUUCUACAGUUACUGUAUUUAAACUAUAAAAGUUUUAUUUUUUUAUUUUUUUAUAUAAAAGUUUUAGUAUCUAAGGUGAGCAAAAUCUAGUUAGAACACCUUACAGAGUGUUGCUUUAACCUGGCUUCUAUCUGUCUGGGAUUGUGGCAGAUUGAGAAUUGUGUACAAACAUGUUUAAGACACUAAGGUCCUGACACAAUUUAAAUUUUCCCUUUGGAUAACUAAGACAUACUUAUAUGAAUACAGCCUUGCACAUACCAGACCAAAAAAAGAAAGAAAGAAAACCAGUGAGUGAAUUCUUAACUGUUGCUCUAAAAAUACAAAAUACAAUAUACACAAGUGGUUAGGUGGUGUUUAAAUGAAGUUCUAUGGAUUUCAAAGGAAUAGAUAUUCACUGUGGAUGAAAGAUUCAGAGAGAAAGUGGCACUUAAAAUAAGUAGAGGUGGAAUUUGUUUUAGAAAGACUAAAAUGAAAAAAAAAAGACUAAAAUGAUAAAGCAGAAAAGAGCAUGCUGAGUAGGACAGCACAGAUUCCAAUGAAGCAGCAGAAUCGAAUACAUGAGGAUACAAGAUAUGUGUUAAUCAGAGUGUGUUUUGAGGAGUUGUAAAAGUUUAAGACGAUCCAAUAGAUGAUUUCCAGCACAAUAUAAAUCUAGGCUCUUUAUCCUACAAGGUUAGAGCAGUCAUUUAAGGUUUUAAUAUGUUUAAAUAGCUUUUGGGAAGAUUAAUCUGGACAUAGUACCUCUGAGACACAGCAGGAGAGUAGGGAAAGGAAAAAUCCUGAAGGGCAAGACAGUGGCAGUGGGGACAUUACUAAUGUCAGUGCUGUACUAGCUUCAGCAGCACAUAGACUAAUAAUGUGUCUGUUACAUACUAGGCACUAAGAGCUUUACAUGUAUUACUUUCCUUACACCUCACAAGAACUCUUUAAAUAGGUACUAUAUUAUACCCAUUUUACAGAUAAGGAAACAGAACUUGGAGUUUAAGCAGCUUGCACAAGUUUGUACAGGUGUUUGACUCCAGAGCCAGGACCCCCACUAGAGCACACCACCUGGAGACAUUUUAAGAAUGAAUAUUAGUAAAUGAAGAAUAUAAGACUUUGACAAUAGAAGAGGGGGUUGUGUUCUAUAAAUUUAAAAAAUUUUAUUGAGUAACUCUUAUGUGCCAGGGUCUUAACUGUAUGAGAUGUUUUAUAUGUUUAACCUAUAACCCACGGUUUGGUAAGGUGAUCCAGGAUCAUUCCCAUUUUACAAAUGAGUAGCCUGAGGCUUGGUGUAACUUAAAAAUAGUUACCUCAGAAGUUUGCUGGAUGCCACAGCAAUGAACACUCACAGGAUUAAAAUUCAGGUUGCUCCUUCCAGUAAGCACCACGUUUCUUUCCUAACCAGGGACUCCCUACUGUGCACAGAGACCUAAAAGAAUGCAGACUGAAGAGGACAGCCACUCUGACAUACUGUGUAUAAUUUUUAAGCCACAACUCAACUCUUGUUGUUGAACAUGGAGUUUGGGGAUGGUUCUGAAUCACAGAAUAUUGCCUACAGUAGAGGAAAACUGAUGCUGUAAGGAGUGAAUACUUUUGGGUAUCUGCUAUAACUGGUCUUUGUAGAAUCCCGUCUAUAAAACGAGAGUAGCAGCGUCCACCUGAAAGGAUUGUGAGAUCAGCAGUGCGGAGAACCUAGCAAAUGUUCAAAACACACUAUUACAACGAAAUGUAUUCCUAUUCUGGCAAAAAAAAAUAUUAAACCACACUACAUCUAUGAAAUCUUGUACAGAUUCCUAUCAUUGUUCUCCCCCCUAUUCAUCUUUACGCAUAAGACAAACUUAUUUGUUCAUUUUUGGACCUGAAACGGAAACGAGUUACCGUAGCAACUGGAAAAAACAAAACCAGAAGGAUUAAAAUGCCACUCUUGCUGCUUUUAAUUAAAAACCCUAAAAAGGCAUACCCACUUGGACACUUGGAUGUUACUUAAUUAACAAUCAGUAAGGAAAAGAUACUGAAGCA